rnacentral:rRNA from 1 species
CAAAAACAUAGUUAUAUGGAGUUAGAUAUAGUUUUUCUGCUCAAUGAGACAUUAAAUAGCCGCAGUACCCUGACUGUGCUAAGGUAGCAAAAUCAAUUGUCUUCUAAUUAAAGUCGCGUAUGAAUGAAUAUAUGGGGGUGAGCUUUACCUGAUACGAUACACAAAUUUACUGAUAGAGUGAAAAUUCUCUUCCAUUUUCAAUAGACGAGAAGACCCUGGAAAUUUUUAAAUUUUUUUGUUGGGGCAACAUAGUAGCAAAUAACCUACUUAAAGUAUAUGAAAUUUUUUUUGUAUAGUAAAUUACUCUAGGGAUAACAGCAUAAUACUGUAGUGUUUGUGACCUCGAUGUUGGAUUAGGAAGUUGUGGCUUAGAAGGUCCCCAGUCGUSCUCUGUUCG